rnacentral:lncRNA from 1 species
CGUGUUGAGGGCAGAAGAGGGUUAAAGCAUCUUUUCUGAAGGCGAUGCAUACUUGCAAUGUUUCCCAAGUCUCUGCUGCCCAUGGAGGAAAACACUCCGGAAUGGAUUUAAAUGUGAACAUCAUCAAAUCCCAGAUUAUUGACUUUCUGGGACGUUCAUAGGAUUCAUUUGUUGGUACAUGCAGAAGAAGUUUCUACAUCUGUUCUUCUCAGGAGAUUAAAAAACAACAGUCAUCACAAAUAGCAUUAAAACAG